AGCGUUCUUAAACUUGCUUAAUCUUCUAGAAUGCCUUAAGAAGCUCAGAUAUAUGCAUGUAUGAUGAAUAAAAGAAAGGAAGAGGAAGAUCUCUCUUUUAAUCAAAUGUAGGGCUUCCAAAUAUUCCUCAACCCAUGUGAUUCUUGCAAAAUGAAGCCCAGUUAUUAGAUUAAGUGAUAGACAGAAGUGAGUAUAUGCAACGAUGUUGUUUUAAUAAGAAACAGAGAGUGCUUG
rnacentral:lncRNA from 1 species